rnacentral:rRNA from 1 species
GACGAACGCUGGCGGCGUGCUUAACACAUGCAAGUCGAACGGAGCGAAUGAAAGCUUGCUUUUAUGAGCUUAGUGGCAAACGGGUGAGUAACACGUAGACAACCUGCCGACAGGAUGGGGACAACAUUCCGAAAGGAAUGCUAAUACCGAAUGAAGCGGAGGAGAGGCAUCUCCCCUCCGUGAAAGAUGGCCUCUAUUUAUAAGCUAUCACCUGUCGAUGGGUCUGCGUCUGAUUAGCUGGUUGGUGAGGUAACGGCUCACCAAGGCGACGAUCAGUAGCCGGUCUGAGAGGAUGAACGGCCACAUUGGGACUGAGACACGGCCCAGACUCCUACGGGAGGCAGCAGUGGGGAAUCUUCCGCAAUGGGCGCAAGCCUGACGGAGCAACGCCGCGUGAGUGAAGAAGGUCUUCGGAUCGUAAAGCUCUGUUGACGGGGACGAACGUGCGAGAGGUGAAUAAUCUCUU